UUCGCAAUGCCCGAAAGGGUGACGAAGCGACGCCGCAUGUGGGAAGAAGGCCUUCGGGUUGUAAACCACUGUCGGGAGUUAAGAAAUGUAAGGAUGUUAAUAGCGUCCUUACUUGACUAAGGCUCCGGAGGAAGCCACGGCUGACUCUGUGCCAGCAGCCGCGGUAAUACAGAGGCGGCAAGCGUUGUUCGGAAUUAUUGGGCGUAAAGAGCACGUAGGCGGCUAUGUAAGUCGGUUGUGAAAGCCUUCCGCUCAACGGGAGAACAGCAGUCGAUACUGCAUAGCUUGAGUGCGGGAGGGGAGAGCGGAACUUCUGGUGGAGCGGUGAGAUGCGUAGAUAUCAGAAGGAACGCCGGCGGCGAAAGCGACUCUCUGGCCCGUAACUGACGCUGAGUGUGCGAAAGCUAGGGGAGCAAACGGGAUUAGAUACCCCGGUAGUCCUAGCCGUAAACGAUGGGCACUAAGUAGAGGGGUUUU
rnacentral:rRNA from 1 species